rnacentral:rRNA from 1 species
UACCCGCAGCUCAAGUGGUGGUCAUUAUUAUUGGGCCUAAAGCGUCCGUAGCUGGCUUGUUAGAUGCCUGGGUAAAUCGAUGCGCUUAACGCAUCGAAUUCCGGGUAGACCGGCAAGCUCGAGACCGGGAGAGGCGUGAGCUACUCGAGGGGUAGGGGUAAAAUCCCGUAAUCCUUCGGGGAGGACCAGUGGCGAAGGCGUCACGCUAGAACGGCUCUGACAGUGAGGGACGAAGCCCUGGGGCGCAAACCGG